UCUGGAUGUUCCAGACAGUUUAUGUAAAUUUCCAGUGUACGAAAGUCAGAAACUUAGGCAAGGGUGUGAAAGGACGUGAAGACUGUUAUCUACCAGAGUGAUGUUUUUAUAACAUGAAGCUGUGGGAAUGUGUUGCAUGAAGUGUCUUGUGGCAAGAGGAGUGUUUGAGGGUACAGCGUUGACUGCUGCAAAGUUAAGAGAGUCUGCUGCACUUCCUCAGAGCAAGUGGAAAAAGUAUGGAGAACAGAUUUCUGAGUACUACCUAUGCCAUGGUGGGACAGUUCAGCCUUGCUUUCCACUGAGAUGAGCUAGCUGAGACCUGCUCUGAUUGCAGGGCAGAUGAGCUCCAUAGUGUCUCCUUCAAUCUUGAUUCUGCAGGGGUGUAAACCCAAGGACCUUUAGAUGGUCACCCAGUUCUUCAUGGUUUUCUGUAUGUUCUGAG
rnacentral:lncRNA from 1 species